rnacentral:rRNA from 1 species
UACGGGGGGGGCAAGCGUUGUUCGGAAUUACUGGGCGUAAAGGGUUCGUAGGUGGCCAAUUAAGUCAGACGUGAAAUCCCUCAGCUCAACUGGGGAACUGCGUCUGAGACUGGAUGGCUUGAGUGCAGGAGAGGAACGCGGGAUUCCAGGUGUAGCGGUGAAAUGCGUAGAUAUCUGGAGGAACACCGGUGGCGAAGGCGGCGUUCUGGACUGCGACUGACACUGAGGAACGAAAGCCAGGGGAGCAAACGGG